UGCCCUGUUCUAAACCGAAUUGGAUUUCCCCCCAGUCUCAUGCUAACGACUGGAGGGAAUGAGAUGAGUGGCUUCCCUUGUGACACUAAUUAAUAUCCUUCAUCCCAGGCAGUGACGCUGCACUUUGGGGCUGAAAUCUGAAACUUCCAACCAGCGGCAGCUCCGGUCCAACCUGGAGAAGCUAAGUGGCAGCUUGUCCACGGUCAGCUUGGACCAUCAACAUCUGCUGAAUAAACACAUCCCCACUGGGGCAGAGCCCUGCGCCCCAGCAGCCUCUGCCCGCCGGUGCCCAGAAUUCUGCCGACUGGAAUCGAAGCAACCUUGGACAAGAAGGUCCCUUUGGAAAGAAAUUCAGUGGCACCUGAUUAAUUCUGAAAGUAAAGAUUUUACAUAUUCAAGAAAGAAAAUUAGAAAAUUAAAAUGAUGGAAACAAACCUUCAGUUGAGUAUAAACAGAAACAAAUGAACCUCGCUGCCCAGCAAAUUUGUAAAACGUGGCUUCCAAGAGAAAAAAAAAUAAUUCAAGUAACUUUUGAAUUCACUACUUUCUGCACCCUUAGGGCAUAUAUUCUAAGGAGGGGAAAGAGGCUGCAAAGAAAUCCCAAAUCUUACGUAGAGAGUGGCAGUGCCAUCAGUUUAAAAAUUUGAAACUAUUGGCUAUGUGCUGCGGUACAGAAGAAACUCGUGAAUAUUUUGAAAUUGUUGGAAAUCAGGAUUGUUGGACAAAAGGAAAAAUAAGUAUGGAACAAAGGACAGAUGAGGCCUGUGGCGUUGAAUUUAAAUCGGAGGUAUCAGGAGGUAAUCGGAGGCUCCUCUAUACAAAAUUUCUAGCUGUGUUCACCGAAAGGGCCCAGGAGCGUGAUGCCCAGCAGCUGUGAGCACACCUAGUUCCUGGAUCUUGGCUGAGAAACAUGAUUCCCUGCUUAUAAGUGUCCAGGAUUUGAAGAAAUGGCUGAUUCCAGAGUUGGGUGGAAAAAAAAUAAUAGGUUAGUCUGGAACAUCUUGUACCAAGAAGUGCUCAAAAAAUCAUGGGGCUGUGGCAAGAGGACAUGAGGGCCGGCUUCCCCCAGUGGACAAACUCUGGACAAUCUGAGCGUCAAAAAGAAUGACAGUAAAAGAUUAUAUAACACAAUGUAUUUUUUUAAAAAGAAGAAUCACCCGUGAGUCCAUAGUAAUCUUCAAACACUGAGGUCGGAAAGGGAAAGAUCUUCUUUACAGGAGAAUGCCAGCUGCUAAAUAUAGAAGAAAUGACAGCAUUUUUAAGUCACUGUUUUAUCAACCCCCAAUAUAAUUACAGUUUCAGGCAAAAAUCGCCCACUGGUAAUCCUAACGGAACUGGGUUGUGGGAGACCAGGAUACUCACAUGGUCUCAAUAGUUAUUGCCCCACGGAUUUCUCUUCCAUCACAGUGGGAAGGGGUGUCUGGCCUUGACCAUGCAACCAAGCCUGGAACGGCCAAGGACAGGCAAACCCACCUGUGUGUCCUCCUGAUCUGAUGCCACGGAAACACCCAGGUCCUGGGUGGUGUUUGUGCCCAGUGUGGUCCACCUGAAUCUAAUCAGGAAGAAA